rnacentral:rRNA from 1 species
AUGGCACCUGCAACAACUCUGCGCUCUCUUUCUCCACAUGGCAUCCUCAUUCUCUUCACCCAUCUUCUCAUAUUGUUCUCGUCCAACACCAUCGCACAAUCCAUCAGCAACGGGUCCGAGGUCGACCGACAGGCCCUCCUCUCCUUCAAGUCCAGCAUCUCCAGUGAUCCGCGUGGUGUCCUGUCAUCAUGGAGCACCUCGAUCAGCUUCUGCAGCUGGAGAGGUGUCACCUGCGGUAUUACUCUUCCAACUCGUGUGGUCUUGCUAAACUUGAACUCUGCACAGCUCAGUGGUCAGUUAUCUCCUUGGAUAGCUAACCUUACGUCACUAGAACGGCUAGACCUUUCAGAAAAUCGCUUCUCUGGAAGCAUUCCAGAGGAGUUAGGCACUAGUAGAUCUCUUAAAAGUGUCGAUCUCUCAUUAAACCAGCUUGUCGGCCCUAUCCUAGAUUUCCAUAAGAUGUCAACCCUUCAAUUUCUUGAUCUUUCAAGUAACAACCUUUCUGGAAGCAUACCUUCAUCACUGGGAAAUGUUUCUUCUCUCACAGAUAUACGGCUUGACACAAACAGGUUAUCGGGUUCAGUUCCAGAGACUUUGAGCCUUAUUCAGAACCUUAGUAUGCUCAAUUUAAGUAACAACUACCUGUCGGGGCACAUCUCCACCAAACUCUGUAACAUGUCGUCACUCAUUUAUCUUGGACUAGACCAGAAUAACCUUACUGGACGAGUACCAUCUUGCAUUGGAAACACGUUACAGAACCUUGAAUUGCUGUCCAUGUCGGGUAACAAAUUUGAGGGAUUAAUUCCAUCAUCACUAGCAAAUGCGUCGAACCUCCAAUAUAUUGAUCUUGGACACAACUUACUAGAGGGGCGGAUCCCAUCUCUAGGAUCUCUAUGUAACUUAACCUUUCUAAAUUUAGGAAAUAACUUCCUACAAGCUGAAGGAAACAAAUUUUCUGGCCAGAUCCCAUCUACAAUAGGUAAUCUUUCUCGGCUGAACAAGCUUUAUCUACAGAACAAUGAGUUGAGUGGGAACAUCCCAGCAACUUUAGGAAAUUGCAAUCAACUGUAUAUGCUAGAAUUAUCUUUUAACAGCCUUGAAGGACCAAUACCAAGCGAACUCUUCAGUGGCACAACCCUGGUCGGUUUGGAUUUGUCAAACAACUACCUUACAGGAUCAAUACCACUACAAAUUGGUGCAUUGCUUCAACUUCUCCGACUCUAUAUUUCCUUCAACCAAUUGUCUGGUCAAGUUCCACUUACAUUUGGCGAAUGCGUCCAACUAUCUUCUCUCAGAUUGAGAAGUAACAUGCUUAAUGGAAGCAUACCUCGAUCAUUCAGUAACCUGAGGUCCAUCGAGCAGAUCGAUCUUUUCCAGAAUUCCCUUGUUGGAAAAAUUCCGGAGUUCUUUGCAAACAUGGAUUAUUUGCAGCAACUUGAUCUGUCUAUGAACUACUUUGAAGGGCCGAUUCCAACUGGUGGCAUCUUUCAGAAUCAUAGUGUGGUAGCGUUGGAUGGCAAUGAAGAGCUUUGCACAGGUGCAACCACCACCUUAUAUCAAUUCCCAGUUUGCACCACAACGUCAGCUGUUGGGAUCAAGAAGAAUGCACUCUUAUUGGUAAAAGUAAUUCCUCCUGUUGCCAUUGCCCUGAUCUCUUUCAUAUGCUUUGUGGUCACUCUUCUGACGAGAAGUCAAGCAGAAACAACUACAUGCUACAAGGAGACAAUGAAGAAGAUUUCUUAUGGUGACAUCGUCAAAGCUACCAACUGGCUCUCUCCGAUUAACAAGAUCAGCUCAAGUCGCACCGGUUCGAUUUACAUUGGAAGGUUUGAGUUUGACACGGACUUGGUUGCCAUCAAGUUAUUCCAUCUCCAGGAGAAUGGUGCGCGUGACAGCUUCGUUACUGAGUGUGAGGUGCUGCGAAACACCCGCCAUCGCAAUCUUGUCAAAGCUGUCACCGUAUGCUCGACAGUAGACCUAGAGAAAAUGAAUUCAAAGCUAUAG